rnacentral:rRNA from 1 species
AACUUAAAGGAAUUGAGGGGGCCCGCACAAGCGGUGGAGCAUGUGGUUUAAUUCGACGCAACGCGAAGAACCUUACCGGGGCUUGACAUCUUUCUGACCGCCUGGGAAACCAGGUCUUCUUCCUUCGGGAAGACAGAAAGACAGGUGGUGCAUGGUUGUCGUCAGCUCGUGUCGUGAGAUGUUGGGUUAAGUCCCACAACGAGCGCAACCCUUGUCCUUAUUUGCCAGCCUGUUAUGGUGGGCACUCUAAGGAGACUGCCGGUGACAAACCGGAGGAAGGUGGGGAUGACGUCAAGUCAUCAUGGCCCUUACGGCCUGGGCUACACACGUGCUACAAUGGUCGGUACAAAGGGUUGCCAAGCCGCGAGGUGGAGCUAAUCCCAUAAAACCGAUCGUAGUCCGGAUCGCAGUCUGCAACUCGACUGCGUGAAGUCGGAAUCGCUAGUAAUCGUGAAUCAGAAUGUCACGGUGAAUACGUUCCCGGGCCUU